CCUACGGGUGGCAGCAGUGGGGAAUAUUGGGCAAUGGGCGCAAGCCUGACCCAGCAACGCCGCGUGAAUGAAGAAGGCUUUCGGGUUGUAAACUUCUUUUGUCAGGGAUGAGUAGAAGACGGUACCUGACGAAUCAGCCCAGGCUAACUACGUGCCAGCAGCCGCGGUAAUACGGAGGUGGCAAGCGUUGUCCGGAUUUCCUGGGGGUAAAGGGCGUGUAGCCGGGUUGACAAGUCAGAUGUGAAAUCCUGCGGCUUAACCGCAGAACUGCAUUUGAAACUGUUGAUCUUGAGUACUGGAGAGGCAGAUGGAAUUCCUAGUGUAGCGGUGAAAUGCGUAGAUAUUAGGAGGAACACCAGUGGCGAAGGCGGUCUGCUGGACAGCAACUGACGGUGAGGCGCGAAAGCGUGGGGAGCAAACAGGAUUAGAUAACCGUGUAGUC
rnacentral:rRNA from 1 species